rnacentral:rRNA from 1 species
UACAGAGGGUGCGAGCGUUGUCCGGAAUCACUGGGCGUAAAGGGCGCGUAGGUGGCGACCCAAGGCAAUGGUGAAAGCUCGAUGCUCAACAUCGAGUCGGCCACUGAUACUGGGUUGCUCGAGCACUGUAGAGGCAGAUGGAAUUCCGGGUGUAGCGGUGGAAUGCGUAGAGAUCCGGAAGAACACCGGUGGCGAAGGCGGUCUGCUGGGCAGUUGCUGACACUGAGGCGCGACAGCGUGGGGAGCAAACAGG